ACUUAGUAGACUUCUUCGGAAAGACACUAAGCGGAUUAGUGGCGAACGGGUGAGUAACGCGUGAGUAACCUGCCUUACACAAGGGGAUAGCCUUUGGAAACGAAGAAUAAUACCCUAUAAAACCAUAAAAGCACAUGCUAGAAUGGUCAAAGUGAUAGCGGUGUAAGAUGGACUUGCGUCUGAUUAGCUAGUUGGUGAGAUAAAAGCUCACCAAGGCAACGAUCAGUAGCCGGCUUGAGAGAGUGUACGGCCACAUUGGGACUGAGACACGGCCCAGACUCCUACGGGAGGCAGCAGUGGGGAAUUUUGCACAAUGGGGGAAACCCUGAUGCAGCGACGCCGCGUGAUUUAGAAGGCCUUCGGGUUGUAAAAAUCUUUUGUAUAGGAAGAAAAUGACAGUACUAUACGAAUAAGGUCCGGCUAAUUACGUGCCAGCAGCCGCGGUAAUACGUAAGGACCGAGCGUUGUCCGGAAUCAUUGGGCGUAAAGGGUACGUAGGCGGCUAGAAAAGUUAGAAGUCAAAGGCUAUAGCUCAACUAUAGUAAGCUUCUAAAACUAUUUAGCUUGAGAAACGGAAGGGAAAGUGGAAUUCCUAGUGUAGCGGUGGAAUGCGCAGAUAUUAGGAAGAAUACCGGUGGCGAAGGCGACUUUCUGGC
rnacentral:rRNA from 2 species